rnacentral:rRNA from 1 species
GGGGGAAUUUUCCGCAAUGGGCGCAAGCCUGACGGAGCAACGCCGCGUGAGGGAUGAAGGCCUCUGGGCUGUAAACCUCUUUUAUCAAGGAAGAAGAUCUGACGGUACUUGAUGAAUAAGCCACGGCUAAUUCCGUG